rnacentral:rRNA from 1 species
UAGCUUGUCUCGCCCAGGAGGUGAGAACAGUUGAGAACAAAGUGGCCGAACGGUGCGUAACGCGUGGAAUCUGCCGAACAGUUCGGGCCAAAUCCGGAAGAAAGCUAAAAGCGCUGUUUGAUGAGCCUGCAGUAUUAGGUAGUUGUCAGGUAAAGGCUGACCAAAGCCAUGAUGCUUAGCUGGUCUUUUCGAUGAUCAGCCACACUGGACUGAGACACGGCCGGACUCCCCACGGGGCAGCAGUGGGAAUCUUGGACAAUGGGGCGAAAGCCCGAUCCAGCAAUACGCGUGAGUGAAGAGGCAAUGCGCUUGUAAAGCUCUUCGUUGAGUGCGCGAUCAUGACAGGACUCGAGAAGAAGCCCCUAACUCCGUCCAGCAGCCGCGGUAAGACGGGGGGGCAAGUGUUUUCGGAAUGAUGGGUAAGGCACGUAGCGGUGAAUCGGGUUGAAGGAAAGUCGCCAAAACUGGCGGAAUGCUAUCGAAACCAAUCACUUGGUGAGACAGAGGAGAGUGGAAUUCGUGAGGGGUGAAAUCCGGAGAUCUACGAAGGAACGCCAAAAGCGAAGGCAGCUCUCUGGGUCCCUACCGACGCUGGGUGGCGAAAGCAUGGGGAGCGAACAGGAUUAGAUACCUGGUAGUCCAUGCCGUAACGAUGAGUGUUCGCCCUUGGUCUACACGGAUCGGAUCAGGGGCCCAGCUAACGCUGAAACACUCGCCUGGGAGUACGGUCGCAGAACCGAAACUCAAAGGAACUUGACGGGGCCUGCACAAGCGGUGAGCAUGUGGUUUAAUUCGAUACAACGCGCAAACCUUACCGCCCUUGACAUAUGAACAACAAACCUGUCCUUAACGGAUGGUACUGACUUUCAUACAGGUGCUCAUGGCUGUCGUCAGCUCGUGUCGUGAGAUGUUGGUCAAGUCCUAUAACGAGCGAACCCUCGUUUUGUGUUGCUGAGACAUGCGCUUAAGAGAAGUCUUUGCAACCGAAGUGAGCCAAGGAGCGAGUGACGUGCCAGCGCUCUAAUUGAGGAGCACGUAGCUGUGCGUCAGUAGAAGGGAGCCGGCCUUCUAAGUACUUCUAGUUAGCGCUUUCGUUUUCAUAAGGACGUUAGCUUACUAAUAAAAAUGAAAGGGCUUUUCUCGCUUGUUAGUAAAGUCAG